UCCGGGUUGGACCCGGCGGUCCCGCCAGACAUGGUAACUGGCAGCGAGGGUUGCGCUCGUUGCGGGACUUAACCCAACACCUCACGGCACGAGCUGACGACAGCCAUGCAGCAUCUGUGCACGCUCCCUUGCGGGUCCUUCCCCUUUCGGGGUCGUACCACCUGCAUGUCAAGCCCUGGUAAGGUGGGGAUGACGUAACACAGACUAUAC
rnacentral:misc_RNA from 1 species